rnacentral:tRNA from 1 species
AUCAUCCCCCACGUGGUCUAGUGGCUAGGAUAUCUGGCUCUCACCCAGAAGGCCUGAUUCGAUUCCCGGCGAUGAAA